rnacentral:rRNA from 1 species
GACGAACGCUGGCGGCGUGGAUUAGGCAUGCAAGUCGAACGGUAUCAUCCUUUCGGGGGUGAGAGAGUGGCGAACUGGUGAGUAACACGUAGGUUAUCUACCCUCAAGACGGGGACAACCCAGGGAAACUUGGGCUAAUACCGGAUGUGAGCAACUUUUAGUUGUUUGAAAGGUGGCGUAAGCUGUCGCUUGGGGAUGAGCCUGCGUCCUAUUAGUUAGUUGGUGAGGUAACGGCUCACCUAGGCAAUGAUAGGUAGGCGGCCUUAACGGGUGGUCGCCCACACUGGGAUUGAGAUACGGCCCAGACUCCUACGGGAGGCAGCAGUCGAGAAUAGUCUACAAUGGUCGGAAGACUGAUAGUGCGACGCCGCGUGAACGAUGAAUCCCUUCGGGGUGUAAAGUUCUUUUAUAUGUGAGCAGUGCUUCUUAUAUUAACGUAUGGGGAGAGAGAUAUUAGCAUAUGAAUAAGCAACGGCUAACUCCGUGCCAGCAGCCGCGGUAAUACGG